CCUACGGGAGGCAGCAGUGGGGAAUAUUGCUCAAUGGGGGCAACCCUGAUGCAGCCACGCCGCGUGAGGGAGGAAGUAUUUCGGUAUGUAAAGCUCUAUCAGCAGGGAAUAGAAAAGAAGGUACCUGAAAAAGAAGCACCGGCUAACUACGUGCCAGCAGCCGGGGUACUACGUAGGGGGCACGCGUUAUCCGGAUUUACUGGGUGUAAAGGGAGCGUAGACGGAAAGGCAAGUCAGAAGUGGAGACCCAAGGCUCAACCAUGGGACUGCUUUUGAAACUGGCAAACUAGAGUACGGGAGAGGUAAGAGGAAUUCCUAGUGUAGCGGUGAAAUGCGUAGAUAUUAGGAAGAACACCAGUGGCGAAGGCGGCUUACUGGACCGAAACUGACGUUGAGGCUCGAAAGCGUGGGGAGCAAACAGGAUUAGAUACCCGGGUAGUC
rnacentral:rRNA from 1 species